rnacentral:tRNA from 1 species
UUAACCGAAACCAAAAUAGAGGUAUGUCACUGUUAAUGAUAUCAUUGAAUUAUCUUAUUCCGGUUAAA